AAAUCCAUCAGAGGGACAGCACAUGUUAGAGGAUUUGGAGAUCAAGUCCAGACUGAGAUGGUUUGGACUUGUUCGGAGGAGAGACAGAGAAGAUAUUGUUUGAAAGAUUCUAACUCUAGAGAUGCAGGAAAGAGGUCUAGAGAAAGACCAAAGAGGAGGUUUAUACAAAGAGGAAAGGAUGCAGAAGACGGUUAGAUGGAGCAAACUCAUUGGCUGUGGAGACCCUGAAGGGAAAGCCCAAAAGGAAAAGAUGAUUUAAAUACACAGGAGAAAAAUGUCAUUAUCCAGGGAAAAGUAAUAAACUAAAAAGUAACUUUAAAAAAGUGCAUUAGCAGAUGAAGAUCUACAUUUCCUCCACAGAAUUUCCUCUUUAUCCAAAUAUUUCUUCCUUGUGUUCCUGUACAACAUUUAUUUUAUUUAUUUUUAAUAGUUGUUCCAGUUUUUAAAAUGUACUCUUACAUUUAAAUGUAAACUCGUGUGGUUCAUAGCGCACCCACGUGAAGAAAAGUGCUUUUUAGUGAAGGUCGGUUUGGACCCUUCUGUUUGGAGGAUGACUUUUAUUAAAUGAUAUUCAGAUCUUAAAUGGAGGCUAUUUGAUAUUCCAACUUAAAAUGAAAUGAAAAAAAAAACAUGUGGAGGCUAAUUAAUAUGAAUUAAUAUUCCAACUUAAAAUGAAAUGAACAAUUCAAACAAAAACAUGUGGGGAAGGCAAGGCUGGUAGGGCCCAACCGGUCACCUGAUUGCACAUGCUGAUGCAACCAUUGACCGACGGCUCGGCUGAGUAUGCCUACCAGUCUGACCUGCCGUCCGGUCAGACCUGCCCGCCUUCCCUGCUACUGAUCCCGUCAGCACUGAGGAUCAGUAUCACACGGAGCAACUCCCAGCGCUAAGAGAAGCUCAAGGGGGGUUUGGUCACGAUCGGUUUUCAUCUUCACUAUUCUCCUCCUCUUCAACAACACUUUCUUCAUCGCUGCGUUCAUCCUUUUCCAGCUGUGGACAGAAGCAGACACAGAGGUCUCAGAAAUGAAGUGUGGUUUUUUUUGGAUGCUAAAGAACUUAAAAACCAUGCGUAGGAUUAAGCCAGCCCAAAAAAUGUGAAGAACCUGGAGCACCAUCAGCAGGAUGUUGAAAAAGUAAUAGCCAACAAAGGGCUCGAACACCUCCAUUGAUAGUAACAGGGUAGCGCGAAUGAGUCUGUGGGCAAAAGAAAGGUUUAAAUCAAGAUUCCUCAAAGAUGGACCAGUUACUAAAGACCAUUUGUGGCUUACUUGCUGGGGAAAAUAACCAGCCGAGUCACAAGGAAAACCACAGAAAACACCACAAACAGAGAGUCACACGUCUUCUUCCAGCCGGUGCCAUAGUGGAACAUCUUGGCAGACUACAGAUUAAAAUAAAAAAAA